GUGAGUCCCAUGAUUUGGGGAAUAAGUAGUGAACAGAAACUAAGGGAGUACAGUGGAGCCUGUAUUGACUACAGGUAGAGUUCUUAGUGACGAGAAAGGAAAUUUGUGGGUUCCUUCCCUGAAGACAUCACUUCUUGACCUGUUCUGAAGUAGCUGCCAUCCCAGGCACCGGAGAGAUGUUUCACAAACUGCAGCCCCCUCCUCGCUACUCCCCCGUCUCCCAUUCAGAACACACUCUCUUCUGAACAACCUUCUCUUAAAACCUUACCAUGGGGGCUUGGUUGGUUUUGCCCCACAAGAGAGUCAAUGGAAAGGGCACACUUUUCAUCUUCAAGUCAAGAGAAUUUCCAUGAGUAAGAGGCCUAUUUCUAGAGGACUGUAUGACAGGAUUUUUAUUUAAGCCUCAGUUAAAUCCUCUCCUGACUUCACCACCCACAGGCACUCUAAGCCAGGGCCGGCCAGUGAUCUCAUCAGGCUUUACUUUCCUGAAUUGUGGUAGGAAGGAAUGGGGCUCCCAGUUCCAUGGAACAGUUCGUGAACAGAUCCCCUUCUGUCCAUACAGCCUUCACAGAAAUUCACAGUGUAAGCUUCUGUACUCAGUUCUUCCACCAGGUCCUAUGACAACCAUUCUCCUGCUUGCAUGAGUUAAGUCU
rnacentral:lncRNA from 1 species